AACGCACGAGACCUGCGGACCUGCGGAAGGAUCAUUACAGAGUUGCAAAACUCCCUAAACCAUUGUGAACGUUACCUAAACCGUUGCUUCGGCGGGCGGCGCGCCCUCGCGCGCGCCCCUGGGCCCCACCGCGGGCGCCCGCCGGAGGUCACCAAACUCUUGAUAUUAAUUGGCCUCUCUGAGUCUUCUGUACUGAAUAAGUCAAAACUUUCAACAAUGGAUCUCUAGAUCGGAAGAGCA
rnacentral:misc_RNA from 1 species